rnacentral:rRNA from 1 species
GAUGAACGCUGGCGGCGUGCCUAAUACAUGCAAGUCGAGCGAACAGAUAAGGAGCUUGCUCCUCUGACGUUAGCGGCGGACGGGUGAGUAACACGUGGGUAACCUACCUAUAAGACUGGAAUAACUUCGGGAAACCGGGGCUAAUGCAGGAUAACAUGUUGAACCGCAUGGUUCUAUAGUGAAAGGCGGCUUUGCUGUCACUUAUAGAUGGAUCCGCGCCGUAUUAGCUAGUUGGUAAGGUAACGGCUUACCAAGGCAACGAUACGUAGCCGACCUGAGAGGGUGAUCGGCCACACUGGAACUGAGACACGGUCCAGACUCCUACGGGAGGCAGCAGUAGGGAAUCUUCCGCAAUGGGCGAAAGCCUGACGGAGCAACGCCGCGUGAGUGAUGAAGGUCUUCGGAUCGUAAAACUCUGUUAUUAGGGAAGAACAAAUGCGUAAGUAACUGUGCGCGUCUUGACGGUACCUAAUCAGAAAGCCACGGCUAACUACGUG